CACACCGCCCGUCAAGUGAUGGGAAUUGGUUCCACCUGAAGUCGCUGAGCUAACCGCAAGGAGGCAGGCGCCGAGGGUGGGAGGGAUAACUGGAGCG
rnacentral:rRNA from 1 species